UAUCACAAGAACCUAUAUUUGGGACAGCUCUCAUGGAACUCUUGAUAUCAUAGAAAGAUGUUCUUAAUGUAGGUUUCUUGUGCUG
rnacentral:pre_miRNA from 1 species